rnacentral:sRNA from 1 species
UGAGAUGUAUAUAGGGGGCUAAAAAACAAGGAACAACCUACUGAAGGAUUUCCCAGGGAGCAAGCAAGGUCCCAAGACAGCUUGAUACCAUUCUUUUGGAACCUCACGUGAGGGGAAAACUUUGGCAAUCACAAAGUUUCGACCAGCUUCAUUAGGCAUGAGAUCAUUAUCCACAUCAAGAUCAAAGAACUCGUUGCACUCCUCAAAUAAACUAUCAAGUGGUGAACCAUCUGAUCGACCCCUAUUUGAAGAAAUGAGAGAUACCUAGAAAUAAGGAGAUCAGCCGCAGCGCGGCGCCGACCAUGGCGGGCUCGGAGAGCCAGAGCCUCGCC